GAUGAAGAACGCAGCGAAAUGCGAUACGUAGUGUGAAUUGCAGAAUUCAGUGAAUCAUCGAAUCUUUGAACGCACAUUGCACCUCUCGGUAUUCCGGGAGGUAUGCCUGUUCGAGCGUCAUUUGUACCCUCAAGCUCUACUUGGUGUUGGGUGUUUGUUCCGCCUCUGUGUGUGAACUCGCCUCAAAACAAUUGGCAGCCGGCGUACUUGUUUCGGAGCGCAGCACAUUUUGCGAUCCAGAUCAACGUACAGCGGCAUCCAAGAAGCCUUAUUUAACGCUCUUGACCUCGGAUCAGGUAGGGAUACCCGCUGAACUUAAGCAUAUCAAUAAGCGGAGGA
rnacentral:misc_RNA from 1 species